AAUUCUCAGCCAUUUAAGUCGCUCUGGAUAAGAGCGUCUGCUAAAUGACUAAAA
rfam:Salmo salar isolate Sally breed double haploid chromosome ssa16, whole genome shotgun sequence.